UUAACAUAAUAUAUAUAUUUUCUUAUUUUUUUUUAAAAAGUGAAAAUAUGUAACAUGGAAAGUUACUUAAGAGCGCCGCCGGAGAAAGGCUCAAAGAACCUAAUUUAAGGAAUGCUCAGAGCCAGCCAAGGAAACAGGCAAAUCGCGAAUGUCUUUAUAUUCAAGAAUUUUAAAGCUAAAUUCAUAGAAUAGUACAGCGCGAAAGCUAUUUAUGUGGGCGUUGCAAAUGCCGACGGUCAUAAUAACUACUGCAUGCAACUAAAAUUCAGUUUCAUGUGUGUCCAGAUGUGCAUUUAUUGCCAAAGAGCCUACUCUUGGAUGGCCAGCAGAUGAACAUGAAGGUCCUCGAAAGCUACGCGUAGAUCAAGCUCAUUUUGAAUCCAUGUAGUCAGGACUAGCUCGCAGGCUGUUGGAGCAUAUUGAUUUUAACACCCUGACAGAUACGAGAAAAUAAACUAUAUGUUGCGUAAUUAUUAUA